rnacentral:rRNA from 1 species
UUGCCCUAGUAACGGCGAGUGAAGCGGCAACAGCUCAAAUUUGAAAUCUGGCGUCUUCGGCGUCCGAGUUGUAAUUUGCAGAGGGCGCUUUGGCAUUGGCAGCGGUCCAAGUUCCUUGGAACAGGACGUCACAGAGGGUGAGAAUCCCGUACGUGGUCGCUAGCCUUUACCGUGUAAAGCCCCUUCGACGAGUCGAGUUGUUUGGGAAUGCAGCUCUAAAUGGGAGGUAAAUUUCUUCUAAAGCUAAAUACUGGCCAGAGACCGAUAGCGCACAAGUAGAGUGAUCGAAAGAUGAAAAGCACUUUGGAAAGAGAGUUAAAAAGCACGUGAAAUUGUUGAAAGGGAAGCGCUUGCAGCCAGACUUGCCUGUAGUUGCUCAUCCGGGUUUCUACCCGGUGCACUCUUCUAUAGGCAGGCCAGCAUCAGUUUGGGCGGUUGGAUAAAGGUCUCUGUCAUGUACCUCCUUUCGGGGAGAACUUAUAGGGGAGACGACAUGCAACCAGCCCGGACUGAGGUCCGCGCAUCUGCUAGGAUGCUGGCGUAAUGGCUGUAAGCGGCCCGUCUUGAAACACGGACCAAGGAGUCUAACAUCUAUGCGAGUGUUUGGGUGUCAAGCCCGAACGCGUAAUGAAAGUGAACGGAGGUGGGAACCUUUCGGGGUGCACCAUCGACCGAUCCUGAUGUCUUCGGAUGGAUUUGAGUAAGAGCAUAGCUGUUGGGACCCGAAAGAUGGUGAACUAUGCUUGAAUAGGGUGAAGCCAGAGGAAACUCUGGUGGAGGCUCGCAGCGGUUCUGACGUGCAAAUCGAUCGUCAAAUUUGGGCAUAGGGGCGAAAGACUAAUCCA